GGGGCUGUAACGUCAAUGCGGUGUUACGCUCGGUCCUAAUGAAUGUGAUUUUGAGGAGAAUUACUUCAGGCCGUGAGAUGUUUGCUGAUACUCCAAGAGGAUCUUUGGGAGCUCCUUUCGCCUUUGUUUUCCCUUGUUGCAGCUCCAUUUGAAGCCUUUUUCCUGGAUGUGGCUGGGGAUCAGAGCAUGGGUGUCCCGUGCCUGAGCUCUGGAGACCUUGGUUUUGUGGGAUGGCUGGAGAUGUGAUG